AGCAGCCGCGGUAAUUCCAGCUCCAAUAGCGUAUAUUAAAGUUGUUGCAGUUAAAAAGCUCGUAGUUGAAUUUCGGGGUUAGUAGGCUGGUCGUGCCACAGGUAUGUACUGGUCUAACUGAUUCCUCCUUCCUGAUGAACCGUAAUGCCAUUAAUUUGGUGUUGCGGGGAGACUGGACUGUUACUUUGAAAAAAUUGAGUGUUUAAAGCAGGCUAACGCUUGAAUACAUUAGCAUGGAAUAAUGAAAUAGGACGUUCGGUCUUAUUUUGUUGGUUUCUAAGAUUGACGUAAUGAUUAAUAGGGAUAGUUGGGGGCAUUAGUAUUCAAUUGUCAGAGGUGAAAUUCUUGGAUUUAUUGAAGACUAACUACUGCGAAAGCAUUUGCCAAGGAUGUUUUCAUUAAUCAAGAACGAAAGUUAGGGGAUCGAAGACGAUCA
rnacentral:sRNA from 1 species